rnacentral:rRNA from 1 species
GACGAACGCUGGCGGCGUGCCUAAUACAUGCAAGUAGAACGCUGAGGUUUGGUGUUUACACUAGACUGAUGAGUUGCGAACGGGUGAGUAACGCGUAGGUAACCUGCCUCAUAGCGGGGGAUAACUAUUGGAAACGAUAGCUAAUACCGCAUAAGAGUAAUUAACACAUGUUAGUUAUUUAAAAGGAGCAAUUGCUUCACUGUGAGAUGGACCUGCGUUGUAUUAGCUAGUUGGUGAGGUAAAGGCUCACCAAGGCGACGAUACAUAGCCGACCUGAGAGGGUGAUCGGCCACACUGGGACUGGGACACGGCCCAGACUCCUACGGGAGGCAGCAGUAGGGAAUCUUCGGCAAUGGACGGAAGUCUGACCGAGCAACGCCGCGUGAGUGAAGAAGGUUUUCGGAUCGUAAAGCUCUGUUGUUAGAGAAGAACGUUGGUAGGAGUGGAAAAUCUACCAAGUGACGGUAACUAACCAGAAAGGGACGGCUAACUACGUGCCAGCAGCCGCGGUAAUACGUAGGUCCCGAGCGUUGUCCGGAUUUAUUGGGCGUAAAGCGAGCGCAGGCGGUUCUUUAAGUCUGAAGUUAAAGGCAGUGGCUUAACCAUUGUACGCUUUGGAAACUGGAGGACUUGAGUGCAGAAGGGGAGAGUGGAAUUCCAUGUGUAGCGGUGAAAUGCGUAGAUAUAUGGAGGAACACCGGUGGCGAAAGCGGCUCUCUGGUCUGUAACUGACGCUGAGGCUCGAAAGCGUGGGGAGCAAACAGGAUUAGAUACCCUGGUAGUCCACGCCGUAAACGAUGAGUGCUAGGUGUUAGGCCCUUUCCGGGGCUUAGUGCCGCAGCUAACGCAUUAAGCACUCCGCCUGGGGAGUACGACCGCAAGGUUGAAACUCAAAGGAAUUGACGGGGGCCCGCACAAGCGGUGGAGCAUGUGGUUUAAUUCGAAGCAACGCGAAGAACCUUACCAGGUCUUGACAUCCUUCUGACCGGCCUAGAGAUAGGCUUUCUCUUCGGAGCAGAAGUGACAGGUGGUGCAUGGUUGUCGUCAGCUCGUGUCGUGAGAUGUUGGGUUAAGUCCCGCAACGAGCGCAACCCCUAUUGUUAGUUGCCAUCAUUAAGUUGGGCACUCUAGCGAGACUGCCGGUAAUAAACCGGAGGAAGGUGGGGAUGACGUCAAAUCAUCAUGCCCCUUAUGACCUGGGCUACACACGUGCUACAAUGGUUGGUACAACGAGUCGCAAGCCGGUGACGGCAAGCUAAUCUCUUAAAGCCAAUCUCAGUUCGGAUUGUAGGCUGCAACUCGCCUACAUGAAGUCGGAAUCGCUAGUAAUCGCGGAUCAGCACGCCGCGGUGAAACAAAGCCCGGGCCU